GUGGGGAAUUUUGGACAAUGGGCGCAAGCCUGAUCCAGCAAUGCCGCGUGCAGGAAGAAGGCCUUCGGGUUGUAAACUGCUUUUGUACGGAACGAAACGGUCCUGGUUAAUACCUGGGGCUAAUGACGGUACCGUAAGAAUAAGCACCGGCUAACUACGUGCCAGCAGCCGCGGUAAUACGUAGGGUGCAAGCGUUAAUCGGAAUUACUGGGCGUAAAGCGUGCGCAGGCGGUUUUGUAAGACAGACGUGAAAUCCCCGGGCUCAACCUGGGAAUGGCGUUUGUGACUGCAAAGCUGGAGUGCGGCAGAGGGGGAUGGAAUUCCGCGUGUAGCAGUGAAAUGCGUAGAUAUGCGGAGGAACACCGAUGGCGAAGGCAAUCCCCUGGGCCUGCACUGACGCUCAUGCACGAAAGCGUGGGGAGCAAACAGGAUUAGAAACCCUGGUAGUCC
rnacentral:rRNA from 1 species